GACUAUUUCUACAAUGGACCCUCGAUCAGACUGUUCUUUAGUGUACAAUAGUAGACACUACGUGCUAGACAAAUUAACGCAAUUAAAAAUGCACCUACAAUAAUAAUAGUAAUUAAAAUAUCAUUCCAUAUGUUAGUAAUUAAUUAAUCAUUCGAUUAUAAGUUAUAUAUAAUACUUACCAAUGUAUACAACAUAAAUUCCACCGUUGUUACCUACGAGAGUUUACAGAAAUACCAAUUACGAGUGCAAUUAUUCCAAUAGUUAUAAACAUUAUUCCACGUCCUCUAGCAAAAUCUGGCCCAACGGAAGACACUUUACGACAAUGUGGACAUCGUGCCAAUGCAUUAUUCAGAGUAUUGAAC